AGCCUGGACCUGGUCCUGAGAGAAGGUUGCUACCCACGUGUUGAGAGAAUGUGCGUGCGCCACCUCAGCUGCGCCCCGUGGACAUUAGCGAAUGUUUGAGGAGUGAGUUAUUCAGUAGAUGGAGAGAGGCCCUCAAAGUUGGCUAGAAGAUAAAUGACUAAAAGGAAAGCCUGUUUUUCUCAUUCUUAGGUGGUGAAGAAGGUGAAGUCCAUGCAGAUGUUCCACAUGCCCAUCACUUCAGCCAUGCAAGGAGACCGGCUGGGCAUCUGCGUCACCCAGUUUGACCCUAAGCUGCUGGAGCGCGGGUUGGUGUGUGCCCCCGAGUCCCUGCACACUGUCCAUGCGGCCCUCAUCUCUGUGGAAAAGAUACCGUAUUUCCGGGGGCCCCUGCAAACCAAGGCCAAGUUCCACAUUACAGUGGGCCAUGAAACAGUCAUGGGCCGGUUGAUGUUCUUCAGUCCUGCUCCAGAUAACUUUGACCAGGAGCCUAUACUGGACUCUUUCGACUUCUCUCAAGAAUACCUUUUCCAGGAGCAGUACCUGUCCAAGGAUUUGACACCAGCAGUGACAGACAAUGAUGAGGCCGACAAGAAGGCCGGCCAGGCCACAGAGGGCCAUUGUCCUCGGCAGCAGUGGGCCCUGGUGGAGUUUGAGAAGCCCGUCACCUGCCCUCGGCUGUGCCUGGUGAUUGGCUCCAGGCUAGAUGCGGACAUUCACACCAACACGUGCCGGCUAGCCUUCCAUG
rnacentral:sRNA from 1 species